UACGUAGGCAGCGAGCGUUGUUCGGAAUUACUGGGCGUAAAGGGUGUGUAGGCGGUUCUCUAAGUUUGGUGUGAAAUCUCCCGGCUUAACCGGGAGGGUGCGCCGAAAACUGGGGGACUAGAGUGCGGGAAGGGAGAGUGGAAUUCCUGGUGUAGCGGUGAAAUGCGUAGAUAUCAGGAGGAACACCGGUGGUGUAGACGGCUCUCUGGACCGUAACUGACGCUGAGACACGAAAGCGUGGGUAG
rnacentral:rRNA from 1 species